GUGACAUAAUAAAAAUAAUAAGAACUGAGCAAAAACAAUAAGUCUCCAAACUUUGUUUGGGAGACUUAAUUAAAAAGGGGGAAGGAUAUUAAAAAUCGAAUAAGUAACGAAUAAGGAAUAGGGAAUAAGUAACGAAUAGGUAACGAUAGGGAAUAGGGAAUAAGUAACAAAUAGGUAACGAAUAGGGAAUUAGGGAAUAGGUAACGAAUAGGGAAUAGGGAAUAGGUAACGAAUAGGUAACGAAUAGGGAAUAGGGAAUAGGUAACGAAUAGGUAACGAAUAGGGAAUAGGGAAUAGGUAACGAAUAGGUAACGAAUAGGGAAUAGGGAAUAGGUAACGAAUAGGGAAUAGGG
rnacentral:lncRNA from 1 species